rnacentral:lncRNA from 1 species
CAGGAUUUUUGUCCUCCAAGGCUGUUUUUCUGUGCUCAGGAACGCUGGAAGAAAUGUUAAAGAAACAUCAUGUUAGGAUGCCCAAUUCUCUCUUCCUGGAGCUAAAAUACAUUGUUUUGCCCCUCCAGGAACUAAUUCUUUAGAGAACCAAGCUUAAAGGGAAAUGUAAUGAAAGUAGCCUACUUUAAAUUUCACUUAGUCUUAUUGCAUAUGUGCCUUGCUUCUAGAUUCCUUUCAUUGGACAUGCCAGAUCAUGUUUCUGGAUAUUUGAGUACAAUGAGCCCCAAGGAGAGGGAUUUGAUGGAGACAUUCUAUCUAGGACUGACUAUUCGAAAGUCUGUUACUCUACACAUCGCCCAGUUUAUGGGUCUGUGUAUUAGUUCCCAUCUACUGCAUGAGGAAGCUUCUGUGAUGAUGGCUGAGCAAGGCACUGAUCUAUGAGCAAGGCACUGAUCUAUGAGCAUAGCGAAUGCCUUUAAGAGUAAAUUUUAUUGCUAUGUUUUUUAGCAGAACAGUGGUAUACAAGAGUAUGUGCUUUUCCCUGAGGUCUUUAUAUUAUAGUCUCAGGUUCUUGGCUACAAAGAAGUGUUGGGAUGGGUUCCAUCUCAUUGAAUAGGUCUUAAAUCUAAUCAGAUAGUGUGUUACUACCACAGUAUUUGUACCAAUAUUGCAACAGAUUGCAGCAACCCACACCAAACCUUACUACAUUAAAAUACUAACAUUUCUUUGGUAAUGACCAGUGGGCUGGACUGAGUUGGGUGAAAAUAUGGUCACCUGCCUUGCUGGGUAUCAUCUGGAGUCAUCUGAGGGUAGUCAUGGGGCUGUUCCUGCUGCCAACUUCCCUGUAGUCCAUAAAGGUCAAGCUGCCCCUGAUGAGCAAGGAGAUGAAAAACCAAGGAUUCCUUCAAAGUUAACAGAGAUCAGCUUUGACCUGUGGAGACCUCCUAAGGAUCUUGGCUAGAGACAUGAAGGAAAAAAAAAAAAAACAAGAAAA